ensembl:lincRNA Gm27162 predicted gene 27162
UGAGUUCAUAUGGGAUGGGACCUCCUGAACCCUUUUAGACAGGGCCGGCGCCACCUGCUGUGACAACUCUUGAGACGACUAGAAAACCAGAUAGAAUGAGGCAGCAUGGAUGAAUAAGUCACAACUAGCCAUGCUCCUGCAUCAGCUCUACUCCUUUUCUGCCUAGUGAAUCUGGACAAGAAAAUUAAAGCCUUCAGUUGGAAUGAUGUCAGCCCUACUUGCGAGUAGGGAGAAGAAGGCUGCUCCAGUGAGCCCUUGUAGCAGAAGAAUGUCAAGAUAGUGUUCUGCCCAGCACCAGAGUGGAAUAUGUCAGACCACUCACAGCACUGCUGUUUGAUCUUAUCGGGCUGCUGCGGAGGUGAAGCUUAGAUGCCUGGAGAGCAUUAAACAAGCCUUAUUGACUUCCCACAGAGAAGACUGUUCAGCUAGGCACCAUAAGGUUGAGAGAUAAACACUGCAGAAUGGAAACAAAGAACAUUGAUGAAGCACUUGGGUGAACUCGGGUAAGACAUUUUCUCCAAUCAAGUUAUCAAAGCCGAAUUCCUGUUAGUCCUUUUGGAACUCUUUUUGCUUAUGAAGCAGAUAUGGAUUGGAGGGCAGACUGGUCCCUAUUGUUGUUCUGCAGGCUUGCUUGUGUUAGGUCAGCAUAUUAGUUCCCCUACCUCUGUAAAGACUGAGAACCACAUUUGGAAUCAGGACAGGAAGUACACCCCCUCCUUAAACCCUUUACUUUCUGGAGAAGUCACAGGUGGUGAAGAUGUUUCCUGCCAUUCUUUACAGAAGCAAGAGUCGCUUUAGGGUUGUUUCAUUAUCAGUGGAGUAGUUGUCCCGUGGGCCUCUGCCCUUUAAGAGUGAAAGAGCAGUCAAGACAGAGCCCACUAGCCUCACGUCGUCACAGUUGCAAGCAAGCAAACCUGUCAUCUUCCUGUAUUAUCUACAAAUGGUGUUUGUUUCCUUUGACGUAUAUUCUAACACUUGGGGCAGGAGGGAUUUCUCGAAAAAACAAUAUUGUUGAGUAUACCAAUUCCCUGCCCCCAGCCAUCCUUUCUGUUUCCUUUUCAAGGCUCCAGGAAUUGCUAAAUGGCAUAUCCUGGACAACCAACACUCUUCAGCUAAAAAUACCAGAGGGUGAGCUUAUCUCGAGCAAUGCUUCCUCUCCAGGGGGUUCAUAGACAUUAUCUCAUUUAUUCUUAAAAACACCCUGUGAGGUAGGGUGUGGCCAAAGAACUGGAUCCCAGAAAGGUAAGGAAGCUUUAAGACAAAAGGUCACUGGCAGAGGUUCGAUUCUGAAGCCCAGCAGAACAGCUCAGAUGUGUAACUUUCAAGCUGUAAAAUCUAUUCACCAGGCAUCAAUAACUUGACUGAAGGAGCUCAGAGACCCCCUUAUAAAAAANNNNAUAUAUCCCUUCUAGAAGUCAGACAUGACUUUCUUAUACAUACUUCAAAAACAGAUUCCAUAAUCAACAAAAUACAUUGUUCUGACAUUCUAUAUAUUGUCUUAUAUUCCUUUUCUCAAGACUUGGUCCCAUGCCCAAACCCAAGAGUCAUGGCAGCUUCUAGGUCCUCUUAGGAGCAUACGCAAAUCCUGUUACUGACAUAUCUCCUGUAUGCCCCUCAUGACUAAUUUUCUUCCCUCCCAUACUCAUGCCCAAGGAGAAUGAGCUUGGGAGCAUGAACUACCGAGCUCCCUCCUCUCUGCCUGCCAGCUGAUUUAGCAGGAGGUUAAGGGGAGACAAGAGUAUGUUGUUAGUUUUACCUUAUUUCUUCCUUGUAGGGUGACUAUGACUGAGUCCUGCCCACAAGGCCAGCUCCUCCUUCAAACACUGCUCUUUGUCUGGGUUUUCAGUAAGCAUCACUUCCUGAUGGCCACCAGCCUGGAAGUUUUAAAGGAUCCUCCUGCUAAUGUUGCCAGUUCUUUUGUCGUCCCUAUUAUAUGUAUUAAAGCCACAACACAUUCUGUAAAUAGUUCCUUCAUAAACUUGUUACAGCUCCUAGAUAGAAUGGAUUCCAUUGGUCCUAGUUUGCUUUUCUGAUCUUGUAAUAAAACCAUGAUCAAAU